rnacentral:rRNA from 1 species
UACGGGGGGGGCAAGCGUUGUUCGGAAUUACUGGGCGUAAAGGGCUCGUAGGUGGCCAACUAAGUCAGACGUGAAAUCCCCCGGCUUAACCUGGGAACUGCGUCUGAUACUGGAGGGCUUGAGUAUGGGAGAGGGAUGUAGAAUUCCAGGUGUAGCGGUGAAAUGCGUAGAUAUCUGGAGGAAUACCGGUGGCGAAGGCGGCAUCCUGGACCAUUACUGACGCUGAGGCGCGAAAGCUAGGGGAGCAAACGGGG